GUGGGUAUAGCUCAGUUGGUUAGAGCGUCGGAUUGUGAUUCCGAAGGUCGCCGGUUCGAGCCCGGUUAUCCACCCCG
rnacentral:tRNA from 1 species